rnacentral:rRNA from 1 species
CCCUUAGAUGUUCUGGGCCGCACGCGCGCUACACUGAUGCAUUCAACGAGUUUCUUCCUGGUCCGAGAGGAAUGGGUAACCGUUUGAAAGUGCAUCGUGAUAGGGAUAGACUAUUGCAAUUAUUGGUCUUCAACGAGGAAUUCCUAGUAGACGUAGUUCAUCAGACUGCAUCGAUUACGUCCCUGCCCUUUGUACACACCGCCCGUCGCUCCUACCGAUUGAAUGCUCAGGUGAGCCAUUCGGACUUUCAUCAUGCUGGUUUCCAGUUUUGAUGAAGGAAAGUCUUGCGAACCUUAUCAUUUAGAGGAAGGAGAAGUCGUAACA